CACGUAGGCGGAUUCCUAAGUCGGGGGUGAAAUCCUGGAGCUCAACUCCAGAACUGCCUUCGAUACUGGGAAUCUUGAGUCCGGGAGAGGUGAGUGGAACUGCGAGUGUAGAGGUGAAAUUCGUAGAUAUUCGCAAGAACACCAGUGGCGAAGGCGGCUCACUGGCCCGGUACUGACGCUGAGGUGCGAAAGCGUGGGAGCAAACA
rnacentral:rRNA from 1 species